UACAGAGGGUGCAAGCGUUAAUCGGAAUUACUGGGCGUAAAGCGUGCGCAGGCGGUUUUUUAAGCCAGAUGUGAAAUCCCCGGGCUUAACCUGGGAAUGGCAUUUGGGACUGCAAGGCUUGAGUGCGGCAGAGGAGACUAGAAUUCCUGGUGUAGCAGUGAAAUGCGUAGAUAUCAGGAGGAAUACCGAUGGCGAAGGCAGGUCUCUGGGCUGACACUGACGCUCAUG
rnacentral:rRNA from 1 species